UACGUAGGUGUCGAGCGUUAUCCGGAAUUACUGGGCGCAAAGGGCACGCAGGCGGCAGGGGAAGUCGUACGUGAAAGCUCUCGGCUUAACUGGGAGAGGACGUAGGAAACUCUCAGGCUAGAGACAGUGAGAGGGAGGCGGAAUUCCCGGUGUAGUGGUGGAAUGCGUAGAGAUCGGGAAGAACACCAGUGGCGAAAGCGGCCUUCUGGCACUGUUCUGACGCUGAGGUGCGAAAGCGUGGGUAGCGAACGGG
rnacentral:misc_RNA from 1 species